CUACGGGGCGCUGCAGUCAAGAAUCUUCCUCAAUGGGCGAAAGCCUGAAGGAGCGACACCGCGUGCAUGAAGAAGCCUUUCGGGGUGUAAAGUGCUUUUAUAUGUGACGAAACAAUGACGGUAGCAUAUGAAUAAGGGGCUGCUAACCUCGUGCCAGCAGCAGCGGUAAUACGAGGGCCCCAAGCGUUAUCCGGAUUUAUUGGGCGUAAAGCGUCCGUAGGUGGUUUAUCGCAUCUCCUGUUAAAUCUCGAGGCUCAACCUCGAGCCAGCGGGAGAGAUGGACAAACUAGAGAUCGGAAGAGGCAAACGGAAUUGCUGGUGUAGGGGUUAAAUCCAUUAAUAUCAGCAAGAACACCAAAUGCGAAGGCAGUUUGCUAGGACGAAUCUGACACUCAGUGGACGAAAGCGUGGGGAGCGAAUGGGAUUAGAUACCCUUGUAGUC
rnacentral:rRNA from 1 species